ACGGGUGAGUAACACGUGGGAACGUGCCCUUCGGUUCGGAAUAACUCAGGGAAACUUGAGCUAAUACCGGAUACGCCCUUAUGGGGAAAGGUUUACUGCCGAAGGAUCGGCCCGCGUCUGAUUAGCUUGUUGGUGGGGUAACGGCCUACCAAGGCGACGAUCAGUAGCUGGUCUGAGAGGAUGAUCAGCCACACUGGGACUGAGACACGGCCCAGACUCCUACGGGAGGCAGCAGUGGGGAAUAUUGGACAAUGGGCGCAAGCCUGAUCCAGCCAUGCCGCGUGAGUGAUGAAGGCCUUAGGGUUGUAAAGCUCUUUUGUCCGGGACGAUAAUGACGGUACCGGAAGAAUAAGCCCCGGCUAACUUCGUGCCAGCAGCCGCGGUAAUACGAAGGGGGCUAGCGUUGCUCGGAAUCACUGGGCGUAAAGGGCGCGUAGGCGGCCGAUUAAGUCGGGGGUGAAAGCCUGUGGCUCAACCACAGAAUUGCCCUCGAUACUGGUUGGCUUGAGACCGGAAGAGGACAGCGGAACUGCGAGUGUAGAGGUG
rnacentral:rRNA from 1 species